UACGGAGGGUGCAAGCGUUGUCCGGAAUCACUGGGCGUAAAGGGCGCGUAGGCGGCUCAUGAAGGCUGUGGUGAAAGUCCGGGGCUCAACCUCGGAUCGGCCGUGGCGACUCGUGGGCUGGAGCGCUGUAGAGGCGGGUGGAAUUCCGGGUGUAGCGGUGGAAUGCGUAGAGAUGCGGAAGAACACCAGUGGCGAAGGCGGCCCGCUGGGCAGUGGCUGACGCUGAGGCGCGACAGCGUGGGGAGCAAACAGG
rnacentral:rRNA from 1 species